ACCCAUCUGACGAGUCCCAAAUAGGACAAAACUUGCUUCCUGGAU
rnacentral:hammerhead_ribozyme from 1 species